CCAUCCCUCCAGUGAUCAUGAAUGCACUAGAGAGGAAGGCAUUUCUGAAGCGAUAUCCCUGGCUGAAUGCUCCUCUGCAGGUCGGACUGGUCGGACUGUGGUAAGCGUGCUCUUUCCCUUUGUGCAAAUAGGACCACCUUACAUCGGGGAGAGAAAAGGCUGCCAGUGUUUCCCUUAGCAGCUCAUGAAGUUGGCUUAUAAGACUAUCUUUGCACUGGGAUGAGGUGGUUGGAGUGUCAGAGGAGGACUGGGAAGAUCUGGCUAUGGAUCCGGCCUCAGCUUGGAAGCUCAUCAGGGGACCUUGGGCCAAGCAAGGCGUUUGAGUGGAGCCAGCUUGCAGAAGCAACAGAGGCCAUUCUUUGAAGUAGUAAGAUUGUGGCAGUUGGGCAUAUGUGUGUAAUUAAAGGGCCUGAUUCUUAGAAAAGAAUUAAAAUAAACAUCAAGACUGUUGUCUCCCUGAGGUAGCUCACAGGCAGUGCAAUAAGUGCAGCUGUUAACCUCAGUCAUGCACUGAGAGGACUCCAUAUUCCAAUAUGCUGUUUCUGUGAUGGCAGUUGACUUGACUUUUCAGGAAGUGGAGUGGUGGAACCUGAAAAGGUAGGGAUGCUGAAGACAAGUUCCUCUGCUCAUUCAGUGUACCAGACAGCUGUCCUGUAUGCACCAAAAACACAGGGGCAAAGCAUGUUGGCUCCCCCAUCCCACCCCUCAUGGUUGGUGGAGACGUUGGUUAUUUCCUCUGGGAAACUCAUGAGCCAUCCAAGGAAGAAGUGAGAUCUAGAAAACAUCUCGCCUGUCUCUUGUCUCUCCUUCUGCAGUUUGGUGUUUGCUACGCCCCUUUGCUGUGCACUCUUCCCACAGAAGAGCUCGAUGCGGGUGAGCCGCCUGGAACCGGAAAUCCAAACUCUGAUCAGGGAGAAGAACUCUGGUGUUGAGGUGGUCUAUUUUAAUAAGGGUCUUUGAGAGGUGCUUCUUCCUACUUCCCUGGUAUGCAGCAGAAAGGAUGGGAGGACGAGGAACCAGGGACCGGUGCUCCUGAGGAAGAAGUUACAUGUUGUUAUAGUAUAAUCUUUUAAAAUGCUGCUCUGUUGUUGGCUGUCAUAUCUUGGCAGGUCCUCUAUAAUCUUCCUGGAAUCAGGUGAACCCUAGGGGUAGAUUGUAGUGUGGCAGCGGUUGUCCCUGCGAACAAAGCAGACACAUUCCAGUCUUGACCCAGUUAGGUGUCGGGAUCAGUGGAGUCAGUCCUUAAAUAAACCCAAAUCCCUAUAUCAGGCAUAAUUCCACAGUGUUCUGUAAAGGUGUGUGUCUCACUACGUAUACAGUCUCUUUGAAAUAAUGUUGUUAAAAAUGACAGAUCAUUCUGGGGAGAGCAGAAUCUGUACAGCAGCUUGAAUCCCUCAAGAAUUGGCCUAGGGAGGAAAUCAGCUUGCACUGCAUCCAGUUCGAACAGGAUGUAUUUAGUGCUAAAGAAAAACAUUGUGUUUCCUUGAAGAAGCUGUGUGCUUUUGUGAUACUCACACCAGUGACACAGGAAUGUGUUUGUGUCAAACAUUCUUUAGCUUUACAAGCAAACAGGUUUGCAUAAGAAACCUUGUAUUUGCUUGCUACUUCCAUCGUUUGCAUCAGGGAAAAUGUGUGUGUGCAAGAAUGACAAUACAUGCCACCUUAAAACUACAGAAAUCAUGAUACAGUUUGAAAUUUAGUCAGAUAUGCAUGUAAGAAAAUAAGCAUCUAGAGCCUUAAUUGGUUAUGAAGCAAUUGAUUAUGCAAAUAUAUGUGUAAACAGAACCAGCUAAAUGCAAAUGGAUUAUCUUUCAGAAAUCGACAGUUCAGGACACACAUCUAAAAGUUCAAGCAAAGGUGUGGUUUUUGUGGGUAUUACAAAGGUACAUAGAAAUCAACAGGUAUAAGCAUAUCUUUGAUUUGAAAACCAUAAAAACCCAACUGCAAAACCAAGUUCUAGAGGCCUCAAUCCCCUUAUUUUCUGUUUUCCUAAAUUGUGCAUAACCAUAGCAUCUUUUCAUAAUUUUACUGGGAUGGCAGUGCUUUGUUCAAAAAUAAGGUCAAAGGGCAAUAGAUGGAAGUGGCCUUCAGACUGAGGAUCACUUCUCUCUGCUCAUCAUGCUAUUGUGGCUUCUACAUCAUUUGAUGAGGCAAGUGUCGUGGCAACAGUACCUCUAGGUGUGGUAUGCAUGCUGUUCUCCUCUCCCAAAAUGAAAGAAAAUUCCCUUCUCUGACCCUGCUUCACUAAUAUCCAUGUUUCUGAACAUUGUUUUUGUCCAAAAUAUAAGCUUGGGCAAAUCCAUCUUCUGUGUUAUGUGGAAAAUAUAUUGACUCUCCUUUAAAGCACAAAUGACAAUCUUUGGUAAGAAGUCAUAAAAGUAUCGAUCUGGGAUGCAGUCUGACUUGUGCUUUGCUGGAAAGACUGAGACAGCUGUGUGGGUGCUGGACGGGGAGAGGCACAGCCUCACGAGAGCGCAUGCAUCCCUUCUUUGACUCUUUAUGGCUAAGUCAGGAAUUGGUAUCCAAGAAAGGAGGCAACAUGUAGGCAGAAAAGUUUUUGCAGAAUUUCCCUGUAUUGAUCAUGGCGCUUGCGAUGUAAUCCUACAGUUCCUUCUGUCUGCCAUGUAGACUUAAUGAAAGGAUCAGCAGAAUUGCAUGCAGUGAUCAGAUGCACUGA
ensembl:lncRNA